rnacentral:misc_RNA from 1 species
AACCCCCUCAAGCUCCGCUUGGUGUUGGGCGUUUGUCCUGCCUCUGGGCGUGGACUCGCCUCAAAUACAUUGGCAGCCGUCACCCUGGCUUCGAGCGCAGCACAUUUGCGCCUGAUUUCCUAUGUGGUGGCUCCCCAGAAGCCUACUUUUUU